UCGGAACUGAGACACUGUCCGGACUCCUACGGGAGGCUGCAGUAACGAAUAUUCCGCAAUGAGCGAAAGCUUGACGGAGCAAUGCCGCGUGUAGGAUGAAUCUUUUCGGAGUGUAAACUACUGUCAGAGACUAGGAACUCAAUGACCAAUCUCAAAGGAAGGGCCGGCUAACUUCGUGCCAGCAGCCGCGGUAAUACGAAGGGCCCGAGCGUUAUUCGGAAUCACUGGGCUUAAAGCGUACGUAGGCUGGUAUAUAGGCAUUUUGUGAAAUCCCUCGGCUCAACCGAGGAACUGCAGGGUGAACCAUAUAUCUUGAGACAGACAGAGGUCGUCGGAACGAUUGGUGGAGUGGUGAAAUGCGUUGAUAUCAAUCGGAACGCCGAAGGAGAAGUCAGGCGACUGGGUCUGUUCUGACGCUGAGGUACGAAAGCGUGGGUAGCGAACGGGAUUAGAUACCCCGGUAGUCCACGCCGUAAACGAUGUGCACUAGGUCGAGGGCGUUCUGACGCGACUCUCGGCCGAAGCGAAAGUGUUAAGUGCACCGCCUGGGGAGUACGGUCGCAAGGCUAAAACUCAAAGGAAUUGACGGGGGCUCACACAAGCGGUGGAGCAUGUGGCUUAAUUCGAAGCAACGCGAAGAACCUUAUCCUAGGUUUGACAUACACGGAUUAGCUAUAAGAAACUAUAGUGACACCUUCGGGUGGAACGUGAACAGGUGCUGCAUGGCUGUCGUCAGCUCGUGCUGUGAAGUGUCGGGUUAAGUCCCAUAACGAGCGCAACCCUUAUCGUUAGUUGCUAACAGGUAAUGCUGAGGACUCUAGCGAGACUGCCGGUGUUAAACCGGAGGAAGG
rnacentral:rRNA from 1 species